GACGAACGCUGGCGGCGUGCUUAACACAUGCAAGUCGAACGGAAAGGCCCUGCUUUUGUGGGGUGCUCGAGUGGCGAACGGGUGAGUAACACGUGAGUAACCUGCCCUUGACUUUGGGAUAACUUCAGGAAACUGGGGCUAAUACCGGAUAGGAGCUCCUGCUGCAUGGUGGGGGUUGGAAAGUUUCGGCGGUUGGGGAUGGACUCGCGGCUUAUCAGCUUGUUGGUGGGGUAGUGGCUUACCAAGGCUUUGACGGGUAGCCGGCCUGAGAGGGUGACCGGCCACAUGGGGACUGAGAUACGGCCCAGACUCCGACGGGAGGCAGCAGUGGGGAAUAUGGCACAAUGGGCGGAAGCCUGAUGCAGCAACGCCGCGUGCGGGAUGACGGCCUUCGGGUUGUAAACCGCUUUCGCCUGUGACGAAGCGUGAGUGACGGUAAUGGGUAAAGAAGCACCGGCGAACUACGU
rnacentral:rRNA from 1 species